ensembl:lncRNA
AUAGGGAUGUAGGUUUGCAUGUGUGUGUCUGUAUUAGUUUCCUUUUGCUGCUGGAACAAAUUACCACAAACUCAGUGGCUUAAAACAACACAAAGUUAUUAUCUUACGGUCCUGGAGGUCAGAAAUCCAAAAUGGUUUCACGGGGCUGAAAUCAAGGUGUUGGCAGGGCCCUGCUCCCUCCACAGGCUCUGAGGGAGAGUCUGAUUCCUUGCCUUUCCCGGCUUCUAGAGACCAAGUGCAUGGUCAGUUUCUACGUGUUCAAAGAGCGGUACCCCAUCUUCUGCUUCCGUCCUCACGUCUCCUCUUUGUGACUCUGACCUUCCUGCCUUUCUCUUAUAAGGGCCAUUGUGACUACAUUGAGCUCAUCUGAAUUAUCCAAGGUAACCUCCUCAUCUCAAGAGCCUUAGUUUAAUCAUGCCUGCCAAUUUCCUUCUGCCAUUUCAAGUAACAAAUUCGCAGGUUCUGGGGAUUAAGGCAUGAACAUCUUUGGGAGAAAAUUCACCAAGAUUCAGCUGAGCACACGACUACUCAGCUAAACACCACAUUUCCAGCCUCUUUUGCAGCUCAGUAUGGACCUGUGACUGAGUCUUGGCCAAUGAGAUAUAAACAGAAGUGAUGUGUUUAUCUUCUAGAUCAUUCCUUCAGGAACAGGAUGUGCCCACCAUCACCUCUUCUCCCCUUCCCACUGGCUGGAAGGUAAAAUUAUGGCAGGAGCUGAAGCAGCCAUUUUAGAGCAGGAGGUGGAAUCACAUGCAGCAAGAUGGAAGAAAUCUGGCUCUCCAACGAGACAGAAGAAGCCUGGAUUUCCAAAACCACAGAACCAACCUCCCAGCCCUGAACAAUCUACUUUGAUAUUUAUGUAAGAGAAGUACACUUUGUUAGAAACACCAUUAUUUUGGCCUUUAGUAUAGUAGCCAAAUCUGUAUUCCAACCCAUAUUGAUCCCAGCCAUCUUUUUUCCUGCUCCUAGUUACUUCUAUCCUGUUCUAAGCUCCAUUCCAUCUGGCUGGUCAACCUCUGACAUUUUACCACCAUGAUCCACUGUCAAAGUUUCCCCAGUCACUCUCCCUUACUGCAGCUUAUAUCACUCCCCCAUCUAACUCGCCUCCCCAUCCCAUUCUCAAUUCUCCACCACAGCCUGUUGCUAGACAAUCUGUGAUCUCCAACUCUGAAAAGAACCCAUAAAAAUAAAACAACAAAUGCUGACAAUGUUUCUUCAGCAACUAUCGUGUGCCAGGUUCUGUUCUAAUUACAUAGUAAGGUAAUGUCUAAACAAAUUACUUCUCAUUUUAACCUUUCAACAACCUUCGAGGUAAGUAGUUUUAUUCCCUCUAUCUUGGAGAUGAGGAGUCUGAAGCACAGAGAGAUGAGGGAAUGCCCUUACCACUUAUCUGACAGGGAUCUUGACUCUAGGAAUCCCAAACAGAGACAAGCAGGGACAGAGAAGUCCUCGAGGUCACUGUAGAAUAGGAGAGCCAGGCUAUUUAUGACUAGGGAGGUCCCAGGGGCAGCUGCUGGCUCUUCCUGAUGGCCCCAAACCCCACCUGCGGAGGGCAGCCUCUUCUUGUCCAGGUCACCCCAGGUGAGCAGCUUACAGUAAAAGAGCAGACCCCUGUUGGAGUCAGCUCCUCCUUGUUAUUCAGGCUGUCGAGCUUCAGAGGACAAGCUGACGGGAUUCCUUAGGCAGACUUUCCUAAACAUGUAAUUCCAUCUUUCCCCACUCCCACCUCUCCCUCUCAUCACCAUCUCCAUCGCUCCUGGCUAGACCUCAUUUAGUCAUCAGUCAUUCUUCCCAUGGACCAGUCUUUGACCAGCGUCCUUGAGUGGGUCUUACCUUGGCAGGGAAGCAGUCCUGCCGUUGAUUCACUAACCCUAUCUUGGGGUGGGCAUUCAGAGCCUACCUUGUACCAGUGCCACGGAUGGCUCUGGGUGGAACCCUAAUUGAGGUGUGAAGACAAGCUGAGUGGCUUUGAGGCCUCCUCCUGCACCUCUGGCCCUCAAGACACUGCUUAACUCCCGUCAGGGUUCGGUUGUCAUUUACACACUGCCCGCCCUGCACUGCGUGUUCCCCCUAGCUCCCAAACACACACAGUUCCAUGGUUCUUUUAAACGGCGUUCUAGCCACUGGCCCUCUCAGAAUCCUCCAAUUCCUACCCUCAGGCCCUCUCCAUUUUAUUUAACUCUUUUUCUUUGUCAAGCUUUGUUUUUAAUUAGAACCACAUUAUAGCAGAGAGCAGCUCACUAAGCCAGACCCCCAGCGGGCCCCAGGAGGAGGAACUGGGUCUCUCCCCACAGCUGUGUCUCUUCCUACCCCACAUACUGACCAGCUGAAAGACACUCAGUAUGGCCACAGAGAAACCAAACUGAAGUGAAAGAUGCCUCUUCAAAUGGAAACUUCUUCUCCCUCUCUCCUCCUUCUUUGUACACCUAAAAUGUCUCUCUGUUCCUUGCCCCCCACUUCCAGAGUCAGCAAGGAUGGUGUGUGCCCUCAGGUUAAUUGAGUUUUAAUUCCUCC